rnacentral:lncRNA from 1 species
CUCUAAAAUGCGGUGCAUUACGUUUGCGCGCAUUAUUAUUACUUUUGCGCACAAAAAUCAUUACGUUUGCGCGCAGCUUUUGAUUACAUUUGCGCGCAUUUUUUUGACAGAUAAACUCAGGUAAAAUACAGGUAAUAAUACUUAUUCAUUUAUUAAUUGGUUCAAUUAUUUACAAGUAUCAGUACCCCUUCCGUAAGUCUAAGUCUCCUAAGGCACCUAUUUAGUAAGAAUUCAAUCAGUAUCUUUUUAGGGAAAAUACAGGUAAUAAUGCUUAUUUAUUUAUUAAUUUGUUGAGUUAUUUACAAGUAUCAGUACCCAUUCCGUUAGUAUAAGUCUCCUAAGACAGAGAAAAAAGAGAUAAAGCCGCAUAUUUUUUUCGAUUUUCAGAUAUAUAUUCCA